CGUGACUGGGGUGAAGUCGUAACAAGGUAGCCGUAUCGGAAGGUGCGGCUGGAUCACCUCCUUUCUAGA
rnacentral:rRNA from 2 species